GGUCUUGUGGUCUAGUGGUUAGUAGAACCCCCAUAAUUAUCACCAUGUUCCAUUCCAUUCUAACAAUCAUCUCAGGUAUGAUUCUCGCUUAGGGACAACCCUAUUCAUCAUUGCGAGAGGUCCCGCGUUCAAUCCGCGGCAAGACCC